GUAGACAAUGAUGAGUUAUUAUACCGCCCCAGUCUGAAUUCUGUGACUGAUUGGUUAACUUGCUGAGUUGC